GACGGAGGAUGCAAGCGUUAUCCGGAAUGAUUGGGCGUAAAGCGUCCGCAGGUGGCAGUUCAAGUCUGCUGUCAAAGACCGGGGCUUAACUUCGGAAAGGCAGUGGAAACUGAACAGCUAGAGUAUGGUAGGGGCAGAGGGAAUUCCUGGUGUAGCGGUGAAAUGCGUAGAGACCAGGAAGAACAUCGGUGGCGAAGGCGCUCUGCUGGACCAUAACUGACACUCAGGGACGAAAGCUAGGGGAGCGAAUGGG
rnacentral:rRNA from 1 species